rnacentral:tRNA from 1 species
UGGCUCAGUUGGUAGAGCAUGGUGUUUGAAAUGCCAGCGUUGUGGGUUCGAUUCCCAC